CGAUGGUGUCAUGGUCAUUGUUGACCGUUCAUAGAAACCCUGCAAUUGCAAUGCAUUGUAGCUUGUGUGGGUAUAACGGUGAACAGAGACCUUUGAAAUCAAAGA
rnacentral:pre_miRNA from 2 species